GUAAAGCUCCUUAGGGCUUGGGUUUAUCAAUGAAAAUUAGGGAUUUGAAUUUGAAGAUAAUUGGCUAGGUUUCUUGCCCAUAGGGUUGUGAUUUCCUAUAUCUAUGAGGUUAGGGUUUCAGAGGUUUUUUCAGGGACCAUUAUAGAAUUACUGGUAAAAAAUUUUAUUUGGACCAUAACUUUCAAACGACGAAUCGGAUUCAGAAAAUUCUUGGACC
rnacentral:lncRNA from 1 species